ACAUAACUGAUGCCUCCGCGUAUCGACUUUGUGCGCAUUUUAGCUAUUAUGUGUUCUUUUAAUUAAAAUGAUUCUUUUUAAGAUUCAUCUAUUAAAAAUUUGCUUCGGCAUAAUUUUUUUUGAUGAUCUUGUUACUUUGAGUAAAUUAGGGUGUUCAAAGCAAACAGAUAUAGCAUUUGUGCGUUUGAAUACUACAGCAUGGAAUAACAAAAUUGAACAAGUCAGAAUUUUUUUGUUCUUUUUUCUUAUUUUGGCUUAGUUACGAUUAAUAGGAGUAGCUUGGGGGCAUUUGUAUUCAGAUGUCAGAGGUGAAAUUCUUAGAUUUUCUGGAGACAAACAACUGCGAAAGCAUUUGCCUAAAAUACUUCCAUUAAUCAAGAACGAAAGUUAAGGGAGUGAAGACGAUCAGAUACCGUCGUAAUCUUAACCAUAAACUAUGCCGACUAGGCUUUGGAUGAAAGAUUUUAAAAUAAGAGUUUUUCUUUUCUCUCCGGAGAUUAGAACUCUUAGAUUGCUUCCUUCAGUGCCUUAUGAGAAAUCAAAGUCUUUGGGUUCUGGGGCGAGUAUUCGCGCAAGCGAGAAAGUUAAAAGAAUUGACGGAAGGGCACCACCAGGCGUGGAGCUUGCGGCUUAAUUUGACUCAACACGGGAAAACUCACUAGUUUAAGACAAGAGUAGGAUUGACAGAUUAAUAGCUCUUUCUUGAUUUCUUGGAUGGUGAUGCAUGGCCGUUUUUAGUUCGUGAAUAUGAUUUGUCUGGUUAAUUCCGAUAACGAACGAGAUCUUAACCUGCUAAUUAGCGGCAAAUACGAUAUAUUCUUAUGUAGAAUUGAAUAUAGUGGAUUUGUUGGAUUUUGAAGAAAAUAUUGGAAUUACGUUAAAUGUGAUUCCUUUCCCUUUUCUACUUAAUUUACAUUUCCAUCUAUUUCUUUUUUGCGUAUGAAUGUAUUUGCUUGAUUGUAAAGCUUCUUAGAGGAACGAUGUGUG
rnacentral:rRNA from 1 species